GCCGUACUUCUUUUUGUGUGGCGGCGUGCUUGACGGCAUGUCGUACGUGAAGUCCCAAAGUGGCCAGGGACUGCGGCAGAGCACCUGAGGGAGGUUGAAGUAACGGUGCCGACAGGGUGGGUGGUUGUCCAUUAUUGGUGUUGGGCCGUACAUACAUACAUACAUACAUACAUACAUACAUACAUACAUACAUACAUACAUACAUACAUACAUACAUACAUACAUACAUACAUACAUACAUACAUACAACGCCCUCUUGCAUAGUCCCUGGUUUUAAAAGUGUUUCUGUA
rnacentral:lncRNA from 1 species